CCUACGGGAGGCUGCAGUGAGGAAUAUUGGGCAAUGGACGAGAGUCUGAACCAGCCACGUAGCGUGAAGGAUGACUGCCCUAUGGGUUGUAACCUUCUUUUAUAAAGGAAUAAAACGAGGCACGUGUGCCUUUUUGCAUGUACUUUAUGAAUAAGGAUCGGCUAACUCCGUGCCAGCAGCCGCGGUAAUACGGAGGAGCCGAGCGUUAUCCGGAUUUAUUGGGCUUAAAGGGAGCGUAGAUGGGUUGUUAAGUCAGUUGUGAAAGUUUGGGGCUCAACCUUAAAAUUGCAAUUGAUACUGGCAGUCUUGAGUGCGUUUGAGGUAGGCGGAAUUCGUGGUGUAGCGGUGAAAUGCUUAGAUAUCACGAAGAACCUCGAUUGCGAAGGCAGCUAACUAAACUGUGACUGACAUUGAUGCGCGAAAGUGUGGGUAUCAAACAGGAUUAGAUACCCGGGUAGUC
rnacentral:rRNA from 1 species